UUCCUGGUGGUCCAGUGGUUAGGACUUAGUGCUUUCACUGCCAUGGUCCAGGUUCAAUCCCUGGUUGGGGAA
rfam:TPA: Bos taurus chromosome 11, whole genome shotgun sequence.